UUGUUUAUGCCAGCGACACCGACCGGUGCGAAUUCAACAGCAGCAGGCAGACGAUCCAAGCCGUAGUGCUACCGACGAGAUGGCGUCGGACGGGGACAGCGGUGGUGCGGCGCCGGCGCGCCGAGACCUCGUCUGCGUGACGGGCGGCAGCGGCUUCGCCGGCUCGUGGCUCGUCCGCCUCCUCCUCGACCGCGGCUACACCGUCCACACCACCGUCAAGAACCUCGUGACGGAUUUGUUUCCUCCCCUUUUCAGAGGAUGAAGCUGAGACGAAGCACUUGCAGGCCCUGGGCGGCACGAACACGCGUCUCCAGCUGUUCCAGAUGGACCUUUUGGACCCUGCUUCCGUCCGUCCAGCGGUUGAGGGCGCUCGCGGUGUCUUCCACCUGGCGUCCCCGUCCAUACUGCAGGCAGAGGACCCAGAGGCAAAUCUUCCUUCUGAAUAAUUAAUCACCCCAUCGACGCAAAUCACAAACGAGUUCCUGGAACCGGCGGUGAAGAGCACGCUCAACGUCUUGCGCGCCGUGAAAGAUUGUGGGGUCGGCCACGUCGUCCUGAUGUCGUCGCCGGCGGUCAUGGUGCCGAACCCCAACUGGCCGGGGACAAGGUCGUAGACGAGGACUGCUGGGUCGACGUCGAGCUCCUCAAGAAAGUUCAGUUUUGGUAUAGCGUAUCUAAGACACUGGCAGAGAAGGCUGCAUGGGACUUCGCUGCGAGGAGGGAUUGUAGAUGGCUGUGCUUAAUCCAGGGAUGGUACUGGGUCCAAUAUUAGCACCAUCAGUUAACACCAGUCUUCAACUGCUUCUGCAACUUCUAGCAGAAUCCAGGAGGAUAAACAAGGCUAGGUGGUGAGAGCAAAGGACCCCUCCAAGAAAUUGAUCGGUUUGAGUGUUCGUUUCACUCCAUUCGACAAAACCAUCAGAGACACUGUGGAUUGCUUGAGGAGCAAGGACUUAUCUAGCCUGUGAAGUGUGCUCUAUAUGGAACACUAUUAUACAACAGUUGCAUAGCUCAAAUAAACUGCUAGAGUGCAAAUACAUAUCUCAUAUCUGGACGAUGUUUUAGGUGUUUUUCAUGUAAUCCAACCUAUUUUCC